rnacentral:misc_RNA from 1 species
AAAGUCGUAACAAGGUAACCGUAGGUGAACCUGCGGUUGGAUCAUUAAAGAAUUAUGGAUUUGUUGGGUGGGGUUGCGGCUCCAUCCUUCAAACUCAUAUCCACCUCUCUGUGCAAUGUUUCCUGUAUUUUGGCGGUCCACAAACAUGGGAGAAAUUAGGUGUUUAUCACCUUAUUUCUUUCGGACCGCCAGCAUUUUUGAAAAACUCUUGUGUUAUGUUUUUGUGUGAUUGAAUGCCUCUUUACGGAGGUUUCUAAAUUUGAAAACAACUUUUGACAACGGAUCUCUUGGCUCUC